UCCCUGAUGGUCCAGUGGUUAGGAUUUGGCGCUGUUACUGCCGGGGCCCGGGUUCGAUCCCUGGUCGGGGAA